ensembl:lncRNA
GGGCACUCUGUUCACAAUGUUGACAUCAGGAAACCACUCGCCCACACAACGCCAUACACGCUCCCUGCCAUCUGCCCGGUACAGUUGAAACCCGGGAUUCAUCCGUGAAGAGAGAACUUCUCCAGUGUGCCAGUGGUCAUUGAAGGCCUACCAGUUGCUGACACUGUCCUUUGCAGACUUACCCAGGGUUCCAUCCAAGUCUGUCUGGUUCCUGUAACUGAGAGGUGCUGAUGAAGUGGUCUCUCUCUCUCUCCACUGAGCUGAGCAGCUCCACUACCAGAGACUCCACCUCUCUCUGUCCAGGGCAAUGCCCGGCAGCUGUUCUGUAAGGGUGAGCUCCAUCAUGGAGUUGUAUGGGCGGGAUGAUGUCAUAAUCAUCAGACUUUCCGGCCACUCAGGGAGGCCGACCCAGAAUGGGCCUAUCUGAUGGUGACCCGGGCGACAAGGCUGGCCAGUGAUGUCACGGACACAUGACCUGGGGCCAUGGUAAACUCAGGCAGGUCUCUGGUUCGGCGGUGCUGCCUCACAUUUGCGGCCAGUCCGUCUGAAGGGCCCGAGUGGUACUAAUGCGAUGGGCUGGUUGAGGCGGGUUGGGACUCUGGUGCCCCAUUAAGUUUGGCCUCGAGGAUCAUAAGGUUACAAGUUCAGCCACUCAAAUCUGGACUGGCCUGGGGUAAUGUGAUCUGAAGGUCCGCACUGAGUCUUCCUAUCACUACCACCAGAGAUGCUAUUAAAGACAGAGGCGAUUAGUAGAGAGAGAGUAGAGUACGAAGAGGCGGAGGGAGAAAUAGAGAGAGAUACACGAAGAGGAGACACUCUUCAGUCUGCAUCUCCCAAGAGCGGAUACAGCACAGGUCAUUGGCGUGACCUGUGACAGAUCUUUGGUGUGGCAGGUCAUGAGAGACCCUAACCACAGGCCCUGACCACCUAAUCGAGAGUCGACACCAAUCCUUCAUCUCAUCUCUGGAAUCACUUCAUGAUCUUCGAUCUAGACUUGAGUCUUUCUUCCUUACCCCAACAGUACCCACCCACCAAGGCCUCUCCUCAUUCUCUCCUGUCCCUCAGUGAUAUCCUCUGUGUAUUUGAAGAGCUGGGGUGAUACAGUUCCUCUUGUUGCAUCUCGAUGCCCACAAGUUUAACGUUUUUUUAUUACAGUCUUUGAAAAGCAGUGUUUUCCUUCAUUGUCUGAGAUAAUUACUUAUGGAAUAAACCUUGACGUUCUUUAGACACUUUAUGGCUCUAAAAGCAAGGCUUCUCUUUACCUGUAUGUCAAUUUCCCUUUGA